rnacentral:tRNA from 1 species
CGUAAUAGCUCAGUUGGUAGAGCAGCCGCCUUGUAAGCGGCAGGUCGUCGGUUCAAGUCCGACUUGCG